rnacentral:misc_RNA from 1 species
AAGUCGUAACAAGGUUUCCGUAGGUGAACCUGCGGAAGGAUCAUUAACACGUAUCCAAACGUUAAAACAACCCUGUGAACCUUCAGCGUGUUCUUGCAGGACAUCAAAACAGCAAUCCCGAGUAAAUCAGGCGCUAAAGAAUUACAGAUUUUGAUUUUGGGAAGUUCUGUGUGUACGUGGACGCUGCAAUUGAGCGCUAGAUAAAGCACCCUGGUACCCUAGAGCACUCCCCUGUCUGAAAGCGUGUACCCUCCGGGACUUGGCGAAAGCUGACUCCGUCAUAAAUCGAACAACUGUUAACAAUGGAUAUCUUGGUUCUC